rnacentral:rRNA from 1 species
CCUACGGGAGGCAGCAGUGAGGAAUAUUGGUCAAUGGGCGGAAGCCUGAACCAGCCAAGCCGCGUGCGGGAAGAAGGCCCUACGGGUCGUAAACCGCUUUUGCCCGGGGACAACACCCGCCACGUGUGGAGGACUGCAGGUACCGUACGAAUAAGGGCCGGCUAAUUCCGUGCCAGCAGCCGCGGUAAUACGGAGGACACGAGCGUUAUCCGGAUUCAUUGGGCUUAAAGGGUGCGUAGGCGGGCGUUUAAGUCAGCGGUAAAAUCGCGGGGCUCAACCGCGCCGCGCCGUUGAAACUGGAAGCCUUGAGUUGGCAAGAGGUAGGCGGAAUGCGUGGUGUAGCGGUGAAAUGCAUAGAUAUCACGAGGAACCCCGAUUGCGAAGGCAGCGUGCCGGGGCGCGACUGACGCUGAGGCUCGAAGGUGUGGGUAUCAAACAGGAUUAGAUACCCCUGUAGUC